UACUAUCGCGAUCGCUGCUGCAUCCCCUAGCGAAAGCUUAGAGAAGCCUCCCUGCAGGCUCGCCUAACGAAGGUGCUAGCGAAGGCCUGCGGGUUUUGGGUUCUUCAUUGAUAACAGUCCGAUCUCGACAACCCAAACCAUAUGGUAUCCAUCAGAAACGAAAUGAUUAAAACAUUCAAGGCAUUGGUUUACAUAUUCAUAUAUAUCUAACCGUGGGUAAAACCUCGC
rnacentral:lncRNA from 1 species